rnacentral:tRNA from 1 species
AAAAUGCUAGUAACAAAAAUUACACCGCCUUGUCAAGGCGGAAUUGUGGGUUAAAGCCCCGCGCAUUUUA